rnacentral:rRNA from 1 species
CCUACGGGUGGCAGCAGUGAGGAAUAUUGGUCAAUGGACGAGAGUCUGAACCAGCCAAGUAGCGUGAAGGAUGACUGCCCUAUGGGUUGUAAACUUCUUUUAUAUGGGAAUAAAAUGUUCCACGUGUGGGAUUUUGUAUGUACCAUAUGAAUAAGGAUCGGCUAACUCCGUGCCAGCAGCCGCGGUAAUACGGAGGAUCCGAGCGUUAUCCGGAUUUAUUGGGUUUAAAGGGAGCGUAGGUGGAUUGUUAAGUCAGUUGUGAAAGUUUGCGGCUGAACCGUAAAAUUGUAGUUGAAACUGGCAGUCUUGAGUACAGUAGAGGUGGGCGGAAUUCGUGGUGUAGCGGUGAAAUGCUUAGAUAUCACGAAGAACUCCGAUUGCGAAGGCAGUUCACUGGACUGCAACUGACACUGAGGCUCGAAAGUGUGGGUAUCAAACAGGAUUAGAUACCCGAGUAGUC